AUCCCAUGAUGAGGACAGGCGCGAAUGUACUCAUUGAGACGUUCCCACGCUUUAGGAAUCGUCUUGUCGGACUGUUGCUAGAAGCUUGAAAUCUUUCCACGCAGGGC
rfam:Sorghum bicolor cultivar BTx623 chromosome 6, whole genome shotgun sequence.